UCAGCUGUAGCCCAGUGGCAGGGCACCUGCCUACAAAGCAGAAGGCCCUAGGUUCAAUCCCUAGCAACUCCCGAU